GACGAACGCUGGCGGCGUGCUUAACACAUGCAAGUCGAACGGAAAGGCCCUGCUUUUGUGGGGUGCUCGAGUGGCGAACGGGUGAGUAACACGUGAGUAACCUGCCCUUGACUUUGGGAUAACUUCAGGAAACUGGGGCUAAUACCGGAUAGGAGCUCCUGCUGCAUGGUGGGGGUUGGAAAGUUUCGGCGGUUGGGGAUGGACUCGCGGCUUAUCAGCUUGUUGGUGGGGUAGUGGCUUACCAAGGCUUUGACGGGUAGCCGGCCUGAGAGGGUGACCGGCCACAUUGGGACUGAGGUACGGCCCAGACUCCUACGGGAGGCAGCAGUGGGGAAUAUUGCACAAUGGGCGGAAGCCUGAUGCAGCAACGCCGCGUGCAGGAUGACGGCCUUCGGGUUGUAAACCGCUUUCGCCUGUGACGAAGCGUGAGUGACGGUAAUGGGUAAAGAAGCACCGGCUAACUACGUG
rnacentral:rRNA from 1 species